UCCAGGGUGGCCGGGUGGACAGGGCACCUGCCCGGUAAGCAGAAGGGUGUGGGUUCGAUUCCCGCCCCUGGAC
rnacentral:tRNA from 1 species